GAUGAACGCUGGCGGCGUGCCUAAUACAUGCAAGUCGAGCGAACGGACGAGAAGCUUGCUUCUCUGAUGUUAGCGGCGGACGGGUGAGUAACACGUGGAUAACCUACCUAUAAGGCUGGGAUAACUUCGGGAAACCGGAGCUAAUACCGGAUAAUAUUUUGAACCGCAUGGUUCAAAAGUGAAAGACGGUCUUGCUGUCACUUAUAGAUGGAUCCGCGCUGCAUUAGCUAGUUGGUAAGGUAACGGCUUACCAAGGCAACGAUGCAUAGCCGACCUGAGAGGGUGAUCGGCCACACUGGAACUGAGACACGGUCCAGACUCCUACGGAAGGCAGCAGUAGGGAAUCUUCCGCAAUGGGCGAAAGCCUGACGGAGCAACGCCGCGUGAGUGAUGAAGGUCUUCGGAUCGUAAAACUCUGUUAUUAGGGAAGAACAUAUGUGUAAGUAACUGUGCACAUCUUGACGGUACCUAAUCAGAAAGCCACGGCUAACUACGUGCCAGCAGCCGCGGUAAUACGUAGGUGGCAAGCGUUAUCCGGAAUUAUUGGGCGUAAAGCGCGCGUAGGCGGUUUUUUAAGUCUGAUGUGAAAGCCCACGGCUCAACUGUGGAGGGUCAUUGGAAACUGGAAAACUUGAGUGCAGAAGAGGAAAGUGGAAUUCCAUGUGUAGCGGUGAAAUGCGCAGAGAUAUGGAGGAACACCAGUGGCGAAGGCGACUUUCUGGUCUGUAACUGACGCUGAUGUGCGAAAGCGUGGGGAUCAAACAGGAUUAGAUACCCUGGUAGUCCACGCCGUAAACGAUGAGUGCUAAGUGUUAGGGGGUUUCCGCCCCUUAGUGCUGCAGCUAACGCAUUAAGCACUCCGCCUGGGGAGUACGACCGCAAGGUUGAAACUCAAAGGAAUUGACGGGGACCCGCACAAGCGGUGGAGCAUGUGGUUUAAUUCGAAGCAACGCGAAGAACCUUACCAAAUCUUGACAUCCUUUGACAACUCUAGAGAUAGAGCCUUCCCCUUCGGGGGACAAAGUGACAGGUGGUGCAUGGUUGUCGUCAGCUCGUGUCGUGAGAUGUUGGGUUAAGUCCCGCAACGAGCGCAACCCUUAAGCUUAGUUGCCAUCAUUAAGUUGGGCACUCUAAGUUGACUGCCGGUGACAAACCGGAGGAAGGUGGGGAUGACGUCAAAUCAUCAUGCCCCUUAUGAUUUGGGCUACACACGUGCUACAAUGGACAAUACAAAGGGCAGCGAAACCGCGAGGUCAAGCAAAUCCCAUAAAGUUGUUCUCAGUUCGGAUUGUAGUCUGCAACUCGACUACAUGAAGCUGGAAUCGCUAGUAAUCGUAGAUCAGCAUGCUACGGUGAAUACGUUCCCGGGUCU
rnacentral:rRNA from 1 species